GGGCCUUUAGCUCAAUUGGUUAGAGCAGCUGACUCAUAAUCAGCAGGUCAUCAGUUCAAGUCUGGUAAGGCCCA
rnacentral:tRNA from 1 species